AAAUGUAUUAUACAAGAAAGGUAAAUUCAAUUGAAUCCAUAUGAGAUCACUCCUUAAAAAAGUAUGAUUCUUAAUUUCUUGGUAUUAGCUGAGAGAAAAAUGUUUUAGCUCUCUCCUGUUUUCUAUCUAAUUAUUGUAUAAAGAUGAUUAUAAAAAAAAAACUUUUAAUAACUAUUAAAGUAUUUUUUUAGUUUUAGUUAUUUCCCCAUAAAAUUGUUGCUACACUAGAAAUAUUAAAGAACAAAAGGUCAAUAUCCAAAUGUCCCUUGUUGGUAAAUAUUACAAAGAGGACACAUUUAUGGACCUACAUAUUCAAGUUUGUUCACAUCAAUCCAUGGAUUUAGAAAUAGCCAUUAGUACAUAGUAGCCUUUUACUUGUAAUCUUAAUUAGCUACUUGAAUAACUGCAAAGUCUUGUAUGAUGAUUUUCUGAUGCAAUUAUAGAUACCGGUAAACAAUUUUGUUAUGAUGUUGUAAAAACUGCUUGCAAAAUUCAAAUUAACAUCAGUCUCAUAUUAUUUUUUUAUAUAUAUAUAUUCCAUAUAAUUAUAAAAGAAGAUGUGGUAUGAUAGCAAAUAAGACAACCAUCUACAAGAGACAAAAUGACACAGAAAUUAACAGCUUUAGUCUACAAGAUAAGGUCUUCAACAAUGAGCAAAGCCCAUACUAUAUAGUCAGCUAUCACAAAUGUAAGACAAUUCAAACGAGAAAACUAACAGGCUUAUUAAUUUAAAUGCUAAAAUUUUUUUAACAAAAAACAAAUAUGUAAGACAGCAACAAACGUCAACAACUGAAUUACAGGCUCUGACUUGGGACAGGCACAUACAUACAGAAUGUUUAGGAUAUUAAGC
rnacentral:lncRNA from 1 species